rnacentral:rRNA from 1 species
GAUGAGCGCUAGCGGCAGGCCUAAUACAUGCAAGUCGGACGGGAUUGAGGAGCUUGCUUCUCAUGAGAGUGGCGCACGGGUGCGUAACACGUAUGUAACCUACCUUAGUCAGGGGGAUAGCCUCUCGAAAGAGAGAUUAACACCGCAUAACAUUAUGAUAUGGCAUCAUAUUAUAAUCAAAUAUUUAUAGGACUAAGAUGGGCAUGCGGAACAUUAGCUAGUUGGUAAGGUAACGGCUUACCAAGGCUACGAUGUUUAGGGGAUCUGAGAGGAUGACCCCCCACACUGGUACUGAGACACGGACCAGACUCCUACGGGAGGCAGCAGUAAGGAAUAUUGGUCAAUGGACGCAAGUCUGAACCAGCCGUGCCGCGUGCAGGAAGACGGCCCUACGGGUUGUAAACUGCUUUUGUACCGGAAUAAACCUUUGUAUGUAUACGAAGCUGAAUGUACGGUAAGAAUAAGGAUCGGCUAACUCCGUGCCAGCCGCCGCGGUAA